UACGUAGGGCGCAAGCGUUGUCCGGAAUUAUUGGGCGGAAAGGGCUCGUAGGCGGUCCGUCACGUCGGGAGUGAAAACUCAGGGCUCAACCCUGAGCGUGCUUCCGAUACGGGCGGACUAGAGGUAUGCAGGGGAGAACGGAAUUCCUGGUGUAGCGGUGGAAUGCGCAGAUAUCAGGAGGAACACCGGUGGCGAAGGCGGUUCUCUGGGCAUUACCUGACGCUGAGGAGCGAAAGCUAGGGGAGCAAACGGG
rnacentral:rRNA from 1 species